rnacentral:lncRNA from 1 species
CUGAGUUAUAUGUGAUAUAAAGUGCUUUCUGUGUUCAGCAGGUCCCUCAGCCGAAAUCCAAGGUGGCCAAUUACUGCUCAAGUAAGUUAUUAACUUAUAAAGACCAGGAAGGGCAGAAGGAGGUCAACAUGAAUACUCAUACUUGAAUUCAGAGUAAUGGAAAGAAGAAAUGUGUUUCCUUAGGAAUAUGUAAGCCCCAUUUUGUUUCAUGGGAGACAAAUCAUUAGUAAACGAUGCAUUAUUGGUACCGGAGGCCAGACUGAAGUCCCCAAACUCAGCGGAACCUUGACAUACUAAGUCUAGGGGCUUUGGGAGUGGAACAGGCUGUGUGUGAGAUUAUGUUUGGGGGGUUUUUUUGGGGGGGGGGGAAGCCGACAUUACCUUUUGCAACAUCCCUUCACAUUUCCACAACUUCCAAUCUUAAGCAUUGUGGGUGCAACCACCACUCGUGUUAUCGCAAUCCUUGCUGCCCUCUGGUCUUUCCUUGGCAAAUCCUGUAGAAAGGGAGGGGGGAGAGAAAAUCAUUGUCCACAGGGAAGCGGAGAGUAAAUUCAGAAUAGGAGGAAAGGGAGGCAAAGGUUCACAGACUGUAGAACAGGAGCAGGGAGUCUACCUUUUUGUUGUAAUUUAAGCAAACUAGAUCUAGGAGUAAAGACAGCAAAAACCAAUCUGUUUGAGAACUGAACCUGAUCCCCGAUAAUCUUCUUUAUUUCAGUGAAAAACUUUAGGCAAAAUGGCAGCCCCAGUGGGCACUCCAACCACAUGUGGAAAUAAGUACCCUUGUUCCCGUAUCUCCUCCAGCACAAAGCAGAGGAGCUGGAAGUGACACAGAAACCUUGAUAGGAGCACGAUACCUUGUCAAACGCAUUUUUAAAGCCAAUUCAUGUGUCUGAACAAAUACCGUCUUAAAAGGAGGCACUCUCCAUAGCCCCACUCCCAUUUUCCUUCAUCAAUAUUCUCCUUCUUCCAUGUAGAUUUCAAACUGGUCAAAUCUCCUAACUUAAUAUUGACUAAGGCUUUUUACAUAGCUGCUUUAAAUUCUUUCCUGGAGGGCCCUAUUUUAAAAAAUACAUCCUCUCCCGGAGUAAAGGUGUGCUUGGCAUGCAUAUGGACCAUAAAAUCAUAGAGAAUAUCCACAACCUGGUGAAACUGGAACCACUCAAUUGGUAUUUCUUGAGUCAACAUUUAUAGUUUGGUCUUUUUUUUGGGGGGGGGGAGAUUUGAAAUAAAAAAUCCCUCAUUGUUGGGUUGGGUUUUUUUGUGUGCAAACCAAUUAGAGGAGAAGUUUUCAACCUUUAUGGGUCCACGGCUCCCUUGACCAACUACAUUCUUUCAUGGAACCCCUGUGGGGAUCAGGAGCCCAGAUAUGUCACCCCUUACCUGCGGAGCUGGCAGCCCCAUACCCCUUUUCAAACCCUCUCUUGUGGAGUGUUCCCUCUGUCUCUUCUCCCCUCUCCUUGGGAGUGCUCUAGGCAGCUCCAGCUGCUGCCCCCAAGAGAAGGGCAUUCUCCCACUGCCCCACAGGGGCCCGGGAAGCAACCCCUGGUCAGCCCCAGAGGCACCAUUCACCUGGGGAGCUUGUAGCCAGGGCUGCUGCAACAAACAGCUGUGCAGGCCUUUGGGAGGCAGAGACACAAGAGGGCAUCAGAGGAGGGAGGGAAGGAAAAAGGGACAGAGGCCAAUGUUGCCCAAGGCACCCCUGACCAUCAUUCAAGGUGCUAUGGCACACUGAUUGAAAACCACUGAAUUACAGGGUUUAGAGUAGCAUGUGAACAUUGCAAAAGGAAAUGAAAGAAAUGAAAGGACUAGGGUGGAAACUCCUCUCUAGGAGCUGGUGUGUGUGCAUAGUCUCAGGAAGCCAAAAUCUGGUUUACCAUGAAGUGUGAAGCAGGGCUAGAUGCCACAGAAUUCCCUUGCUACUUAGAUGUACACAGCUCCAAUAUUGCAAACUUGCUGUGAGUUUGCAAAAUCCCAGUCUGCCUCUUCUUAAACAGUCUCCCAGUGCUGCUGGGUUAAAAUUUGUGAGCUUCUCUCAAAACAUUUGAAUAUACAGUCAUACCUAGGGUUACAGAUGCUUCGGGUUGCGCAAUUUCGGGUUGCACACUGCGCCGAACCUAGAAGUACCAGAAUGGGUCACUUCUGGGUUUUGGUGCUUGCGCAUGCACAGAGGCGCUAAAUCGUGCUUUGCGCAUGCGCAGAAGUGCCAAAUCACAACCCGCGCAUGCGCAGACACAACGCUACGGGUAGCGAAUGCUGCGGGUUGCGAAUGUGCUUCCAGCAUGGAUCACGUUCACAACCCGAGCGUCCACUGUAUAUACUAGACAGAACCCGAGCUGAACAGAAGUCUCCUUCUCCCUUCUUUCUCUUCAUCCCUUACCUGAAAAAGCCAGCAGCAGCACACACAGGGCAGCCCAGAACAGGUGAAGUAUCUUCAUGGCUUAGGGAGGAUGAGAGGAUGCAGAGAGGCUCAACGCAUGGCUACAAGGCAGAAUGUUGUCAGGAUUAGGAGGGAUGAACUUUCCGUAUUUGUAGCCCCUUGGGAAGCUGUUUCCUCCCACUACUCUGCAAUCUCCAGCAAGACAUCACCAUGCCCUAAAGGAACGUGGGGCUUCUAGCCAAGUCAUAAGCACAGUGUGCCCCCUAGAAUGAGAUGGAGAGAUGAUGAAGUUCAGGCCUGUGGCAAGACCUGGAGGAUGCAGAACCAGGAAAAAGCAGCCACCUGAGACAUUGAGUACCUAUUGGUAGAUUUAUGGAUGAUUUGCAAUAGUUUGAGCUGUCUCUCAAUUGUUUAACAGGGCAACAAAAAGUCUCUAUCCUCCCUGCUCUUUCCGAUCUAGAUGAUAGAUAACGAAAGCUUGGAGGGUAACCAGGAGUGAGGUUUUGUGUGGAAGGACAAUGAGCCCAUUCACAGUUCUGGCACUGAAAAGAAAUCCCUGGGCUUGGGCUACGCACACAUUAGUGGCCUGAAAUGCAGUGAGGUCAUCACUGCCCCUCCCACCUGUGUGAAGAACAUCAAAAGAGCCUGCUGGAGAUGAUGCCUUCCUGGAACAGAUGGCCAAGCAUGCAAAAGGAAGGGAGAUAGUAGUAAUGGGGGACUUCAAUUACCCGGAUAUUUGUUGGAUGUCAAACUCAGCCAAGAGCAUAAGGUCAAACAGAUUCCUCACUGGCCUUGCAGACAACUUCAUUGUCCAGAAAGUGGGAGAAGCAACAAGAGGAACAGCCAUUUUAGAUCUGGUCCUAACCAAUGUUGAUGACCUGGUUAGUGGGGUAGAAGUGGAAGGAUCAUUAGGCGCGAGUGAUCAUGCUCUUCUGAAGUUUACUAUACAGCGGAAAGGAGCAGCCAAGCAUACUAAGAUUCAAUUUCUUGACUUUAAGAAAGCCGACUUCAUAAAACUUAGGGAAGUGCUGGGUGAGAUCCCAUGGACAGUAAUACUAAAAGGAAAGGGAGUUCAUGAUGGCUGGGAGUUUGUUAAGAGGGAGAUAGUAAAAGCACAACGUCAGGCAAUACCAAUGAGACGGAAACAUGGAAGGUGCCUAAAGAAGCCAGGGUGGCUAUCUAAAGAACUUUUAACUGAGUUAAGAUUAAAAAAGAAUGUGUACAAAAAAUGGAAAAGGGGGGAAACCACCAAAGAGGAAUUCAAACAAAUAGCCAGCACGUGUAGACACAAAGUCAGAAAAGCUAAAGCACAGAAUGAACUCAGGCUUGCUAGGCUUGCAUACUUUUAUGGGUAUGUUCGUAGCAAAAGGAAGAACAAAGAAACAGUGGGGUCACUCAGAGGAGAAGAUGGUGAAAUGCAAACAGGGGACACAGAAAGGGCUGAACUCCUCAAUGCCUUCUUUGCCUCAGUCUUCUCCGAUAAAGAAAACAAUGCCCGACCUGAAGAAUUUGGAGCAAAUGAUUCAGCAAAGGAAACACAGCCCAGAAUAACUAAGGAGAUAGUACAAGAAUACUUGGCUAGUUUAGAUGUAUUCAAGUCUCCAGGGCCAGAUGAACUGCAUCCAAGAGUAUUAAAAGAACUGGCAGAACCACUGGCAGUCAUCUUUGAGAAUUCCUGGAGAACAGGCGAAGUCCCGGCAGACUGGAGGAGGGCAAAUGUUGUCCCUAUUUUCAAAAAGGGGAAAAGAGAGGACCCAAAUAAUUACCGCCCAGUCAGUCUGACAUCAAUACCAGGGAAGAUUCUGGAGCAGAUCAUUAAGCAAACAGUCUGUGAGCACCUAGAAAGGAAUGCUGUGAUCACCAAUAGUCAGCAUGGAUUUCUGAAAAAUAAGUCAUGUCAGACUAACCUGAUCUUGUUUUUUGACAGAAUUACAAGCCUGGUAGAUGAAGGGAACACAGUGAAUGUAGCCUACCUUGAUUUCAGCAAGGCAUUUGACAAGGUGCCCUAUGAUAUUCUUGUAAAGAAGCUGGUAAAAUGCGGUCUUGACUAUGCUACCACUCAGUGGAUUUGUAACUGGCUGACUGACCGAACCCAAAGGGUGCUCAUCAAUGGUUCCUCUUCAUCCUGGAGAAGAGUGACUAGUGGGGUGCCACAGGGUUCUGUCUUGGGCCCGGUCUUAUUCAACAUCUUUAUCAACGACUUGGAUGAUGGACUCAAGGGCAUCCUGAUCAAAUUUGCAGAUGACACCAAACUGGGGGGGUGGGGUGGCUAACACCCCAGAGGACAGGAUCACACUUCAAAACGACCUUGACAGAUUAGAGAACUGGGCCAAAACAAACAAGAUGAACUUUAAGAGGAAGAAAUGUAAACUAUUGCACUUGGGCAAAAAAAGAGUGAGGCACAAAUACAAGAUGGGGGACACCUGGCUUGAGAGCAGUACAUGUGAAAAGGAUCUAGGAGUCUUGGUUGACCACAAACUUGACAUGAGCCAACAGUGUGACGCGGCAGCUAAAAAAGCCAAUGCAAUUCUGGGCUGCAUCAAUAGGAGUAUAGCAUCUAGAUCAAGGGAAGUAAUAGUGCCACUGUAUUCUGCUCUGGUCAGACCUCACCUGAAGUACUGUGUCCAGUUCUGGGCACCACAGUUCAAGAAGGACACUGACAAACUGGAACGUGUCCAGAGGAGGGCAACCAAAAUGGUCAAAGGCCUGGAAACGAUGCCUUAUGAGGAACGGCUAAGGGAGCUGGGCAUGUUUAGCCUGGAGAAGAGGAGGUUAAGGGGUGAUAUGAUAGCCAUGUUCAAAUAUAGAAAAGGAUGUCACAUAGAGGAGGGAGAAAGGUUGUUUUCUGCUGCUCCAGAGAAGCGGACACGGAGCAAUGGAUCCAAACUACAAGAAAGAAGAUUCCACCUAAACAUUAGGAAGAACUUCCUGACAGUAAGAGCUGUUCGACAGUGGAAUUUGCUGCCAAGGAGUGUGGUGGAGUCUCCUUCUUUGGAGGUCUUUAAGCAGAGGCUUGACAACCAUAUGUCAGGAGUGCUCUGAUGGUGUUUCCUGCUUGGCAGGGGGUUGGACUCGAUGGCCCUUGUGGUCUCUUCCAACUCUAUGAUUCUAUGAAUAAAAGCAAAUUAAAAAACCCCGUUCCCUCUCUUUCCAGUUUUCAGGUAUGAGUCCUUGCUUAUGCAGCAAAAAUAGCACCUUGCACUCAUGAGCCGUGGGUGGCACUGUGGGUUAAACCACAGAGCCUAGGACUUGCCGAUCAGAAGGUCGGCGGUUCGAAUCCCCGCGACGGGGUGAGCUCCCGUUGCUUGGUCCCUCAUCCUGCCAACCUAACAGUUCGAAAGCAGGUCAAACUGCAAGUAGAUAAAUAGGUACCGCUCUGGCAGGAAGGUAAAUGGUGUUUCCGUGCACUGCUCUGGUUCACCAGAAGAGGUUUAGUCAUGGUGGCCACAUGACCUGGAAGCUGUACUCCGGCUCCCUCGGCCAAUAAAGCGAGAUGAGCGCCGCAACCCCAGAGAUGGCCACGACUGGACCUAAUGGUCAGUGGUCCCUUUACCUUUACCUUUACUCAUGAGACCAGCAUGGUUGUGCAGAAGCAAAGCAGAUCUUAAGAAAGAAUGCUAGAAGGCGAAAGGGUCCCCCCAAAACAUUCCGUUGAGCCACAAUGAGGAUAAUGAACUAGAAUGUCCCCAGAAUUGCAAAUCUGUCCCCGGGAAAUGUGGCAGCAGCAGCCUCAGCAGCCCGGAGCCAGCCUGGUAGCGCAGUUGGCUCUGGGUGGCUUCAGGAGCUGCUUGCUGCCACCACCACUGCCACUGACAAGGGGACACCAGGGACAUCUGGUGGUACAGAUCUCCUGCGCCCUUCCCCCUUUGUUUUGACAGAUCGGGGGAGGCUCAGGAGUUGCGGGCAGGUGGCCGUUACCCAGGAGGGGUGCAAGGCGCACGGUUUCCCUGCCAGGCAAGGAGCAAAGCCAUUCUUUCGCACCCUGUGAAACAUAAAUGCUCCAAGUUUUUAAAAAACUGGGCAAUGGCUGCUCUCCUGCGAAUCCCAAGCCUCCCCUGAUCAGUCAAAACAAAGGCGAAAGGGGGCAGGAGAUCGAGGGAGUCUCAGGAGCCGCGGGCGGGCAGCCAUUGCCCAGCUUUUUAAAAACUCAGAGCGUUUAUGUUUCACAGGGUGCGAAAGAAGGGCUUUGCACUUUUAUAAAAUAUGCAUGUGUGCUUUGGCCCAGGGUCUUUUGCCUCACCAUCACCACUACUGACUCCCUGUUGCUACUCGGCUUCAAAAGAAAAAAGAAAAAGAAAGAAAGUGUCCCCGGAUUCAUUGAAAAAAAUCUGCUAACUAUACUAUAACCACCACGGGUUAUCUUUUGGUUUUUGCAUGAGGCUAAACUUAGAAACCUGGAGACUCAGGCAGAGUUGAUAAAACUGGUAUUUGAUACUAGUGCAGAAAGCAGGAGUCAGACUGCAAACAGGAUCAGCUACUAGGGACAACAUGUUACACUGUUCAGAGAUGCACUGGUUGCCAAUUUUCCAUUAUCGGGGUUCGAAGUUCUAAAUAAUGCCAAUAGUUCAGCUGGUUACACUGUGGUUAGAGCUGGGAUUAUGGUUUAAGAAAUCUAAGGCGUCUUAAAUGCAUGCACUUCCAUAAGUGCACAAGGGAAAUGCCCAUGUCUGAAACCACAUGUCUGAAAUAGUAUGGCCAGCAAGAUCAAAGCCAUGUUUAGCUGUUAAUGGAGCCCAGAAGCCCCUCCAUUCACACAGCAGGAAAUUCUUCCUGGCCUCCUUUCUAUGAAACUGGUUUAGCAAGUAUGGAUGAACUAUCUGAGCAGACUUGUUAAAAGAGCAGAUAUCUAUGUAUGAAUGAAACAUGCCCUUGAUAAUGCAUCCUGGAGUCAAGGUAUUCACCAUUUCAAAGAAUGUCCCAGGGUGGGCAUUUAUCAGGUGUUGUCAGGCAUCUUGAUUGACAGACUUGUAAAUACAUUGGAUGGAUGGGGUGUUAGGGGAGAGGUGGUACCUCUGGUAGGCGACAGGCAUGUUGUGCUCUUUCUGGGGUUGUGUGUCCACCUUUGGUCCCUUCAAACAGAAUGGAAAUAGACUGCUGGUGCUUAUAACAAAAAAGCUUUAAAACUGAUUGAAGGUGGGAGCUGGGGAGGCUCUGCUUUGGAACCUGGCAUGUAGAUCACAAAACCUAUAAAAAUCAAUAUGGAGGUGCCACAGAACUAUGCAUUGUGAGUGCAGGGGCACAGGUGUAGCAGGCCAAUGUACAACAAGUCAAAACAUGAGUGCCCAACUGAAGACUGAAGACAUGAGUGCCCAACUGAAGACAAUAAUAAUACAGUGGUACUUCUGGUUGCGAAUGGGAUCCAUUCCGGAGGGUCGCGGGUCGUGAUUCGCAGCUUCUGUGCAUGCCUGCGACGUCAUUUUUCAUGUCUGCGCAUGUGCGAGCAGCCAAACCAAGAAGUAACCCUUUCCUGUACUUCCAGGUCGCCAGGGGACGCAACCUGAAAAUGCGCAACCUGAAGCAAACGUAACAUGAGGUAUGACUGUAAUAAUAAUAUAUUAUUACGGUCAAAGACCAGUUCAGAAGCACAACUGAGACUGCUUUCACAAGAGUGAAAUAGACAUUUAAAACAAUAUACAAUAACAGCUCAUAGAUUAAAAUUAAAAUAGUUGCAUGAACACAAAAAGACCUAAGGUUAAACUAACAUGCAGAUUGCCCCUGGGACACCCAGGAGGCCGACUACGGCAGUUUUCCUAGAGAUCGAUUUGCUCCUGGGGGGGGGGGGUGUUCUACGCCUACAAAUCUGUGUACUGAAUCUGGCGACCAUCCGAGUCAUCUUGUAAUUUUUGCCUAAGAGAAGAAAAAUGAGUUUAGGCUUGUCCGGAAGGUCAGCAAGCCUCACCAGAUGGGGGUCGAUGGUAUCUCUACGUGCCUCAUUGUAAAAGGGACAUCUAAAAAAUAAGUGUUCAGGGCUUCCUAUUUCCCCUAACGGGCAGGCGCAAAGUCUCUGAGAGUUCUGGAAUUUUCCAAAAGAUCCUUCCAGAACCGGCGAGGGCAGAGCCGAACUUCUGGCAAGAGUUAAAGGCCCUUCUUACAUUUUUGGAUACGAGGAAAUGGAGGUAUGCUGCUGGGACAGCAACAUCUCUCUUGUGUUCUUCAAUUAUGUAAUCAGGGGACCUCAAGCAGUCCUGUUGCCUCUCUGUGUCCAUAAUUCUAUGAAUAAUGGCAAGUUGUGGUUCUGCAGAGAGAAUGGGCACUCUCUCCCCACCUACCUUUAAGUCAUGUGUAGAACGUAGCCCAAGGAAGGACACCUAUUUUCCCUCCUCCCCUGCAAAACAUCCUCUAUUUUUGUUGUUGUUCAGUCAUGUCCGACUCUUCAUGACCCCCUGGACCAGAGCACGCCAGGCACUCCUGUCUUCCACUGCCUCCCACAGCUUGGUCAAACUCAUGCUGGUAGCUUCGAGAACACUGUCCAACCAUCUCAUCCUCUGUCCUCCCCUUCUCCUUGUGCCCUCCAUCUUUCCCAGCAUCAGGGUCUUUUCCAGGGAUUCUUCUCUUCUCAUGAGGUGGCCAAAGUAUUGGAGCCUCAGCUUCAGGAUCUGUCCUUUCAGUGAGCACCCAGGGCUGAUUUCCUUCAGAAUGGAGAGGUUUGAUCUUCUUGCAGUCCAUGGGGCCUCCAUUUUUAACUCUCCCAAAUAGCCUAAUGCAUUAUUCUGAGCCUUUGCUUUCCCAGUGGCCUUCUAUGUCUUCACUCCAGGGACCCCCUUUUAAUAAUCCCAACCUACACUUGAAGACAAUUGGUAGAGCAUGAGGCUCUUAAUCUCAGGGUCUUGGGUUUGAGCCCCCAUUGGAUGGUGUUGGACUCGAUGCUCCUCCUGGUCCCUUCCAAAUCUACAAUUCUAUGACAGUAUUCAAGUGUUUGCAUGCCAGUGCCAGACACCUCCCAGCCAUGGACGGGUGAACUGGAGAGCUUGGUCUUGGAGGACAGCAUGGAUAAAGUGAGCAGGUUCAAUCCCUGUAUGCAUAUUCCUGCAUUGCGGGGGGUUGGACUAGAUGAUCCUCAUCAUCCCUUCCAACUCUUCGAUUCUUUGAUGCAGGGCUGUUCACAAUGUAAAAUUACAAUAUAAAAACCACAAAGACAUACAGUCAUACCUCCGGUUGCGAACGUGAUCUGUGCGGGAGGCAUGUUUGCAACCCACAACGUUCGUAGCCUGAAGUGCUGCAUCUGCGCAUGCGCAUGACACGAUCCGGCUCUUCUGCGCAUGUGCAUGACAUCAUUUUGCGCUUCUGCACAUGCAUAAGUGCAGAAACCCAGAGGUAACCCAUUCCGGUACUUCUGGGUUCGGUGCGAUCCACAACCCGAAAACACGCAACCCACAGCGUUCGUAACCCGAGGUAUGACUGUAGAUCAUUGGCCUGAGUGGCAGGUUUUCUUAUGGUCUUAAAGCACACGGGAAGGGAAUUUUGCUGCAUUUCAGGCCACCUGUGUGGACAUAGCCCAAGCCCAAGAAUUUGUUUUCAGUGCCAAGCUGAAUGGGGCUCAUGGUCCUUCCAUCCCUGAUGACCCAACAAGCCUUCCUUUGUUUUAGGCAUAUAAUAUAGAAUGGAAGGAGCGGCAGGGCGGACAGAGACUUUCUGCUGCCUUGUUAAACAAUUGGGAGUCAAUAAAUCAGCCAUGGAUCUACCAGGAUGUACUCAGUGACUUGGCUGGGUGCUUUUUCCUGGUUUUGCACCCUCUAGGUCUUACCACAGGCCAAAACAUCUAAUCUCUGCAUCUCUCCAUAUCAUUUCAAGAAAGACACUGUGCUUAGGGUUGGGUUUGCAGCCCCAUCUUCCUGUUGGUUUCUAUUUCCCUCACUGAGCAGCAACUGCAGUCACAAGACAUUGUUUUACAUUCCACAGUCUGUACUGUUGGAGUUUCUCACGGGAAAGGGAGACUGGAUGUGACGUACACUGGUUUCCUGUUUUUUCACUGUGUGAUUCUCUCCGAGCUGUGGAGGAGAGAGGAUGCAUUUUUCUGCUCCGGCAGAGACAAGAUGUCUUUCUGUAAUAUACCAGCUUUGAACUGUAAAUAAAGCAAUAUAGAGUAUGUAGCACGUAUUCUUCAUCCUUCCGCUGGGCACGACAGACUCUGCUUUAAAUCAACACGUGGUUAUGGACUCCAGAGGUCGAAUCGGAGUGCCGGCAAAGGAUCGGAAUGCAGAGGGACGGAUCGGAAAGGAAUCUGCUCUGCGCGUAGAAGUGAUUGAUGAGGUAUGUGCUACUGCUCCGGGCAGCCUGCCAGCUUCAAGAUAAUGGCUUUAUGGCUGGACUUUGAACUUUUAAAGCCGGUUUUGCCGGGAAUAGGCAAAAGGCUCCCAGGCACAAGUCACUAUGCUGGGAAAUCGAAAGUAACUUUUAAGUGUGCCUUUGUAAUGAGGCAGCUGCAGCAGUGACGCAGCAAGAUUUAAAGCAGCAUAUGACGCUGAAGGCUAAUGCCAGAGUCAUGAUGGCCCUUCAGGAUGCUUGUGGGAUUCCUAAGCUCAACAAGACAAAUUACAGCGACUGGGUUCAGUAUGCAGAGGCAAUUCUGCGGAAGAGGGUUUGUUUGAGGUGAUUACAGGCACCCCCCCAGUUCCAGUUACAGAUGCAUGGGAAGCUAAGGAUUCCAAAGCAAGGGAACUCUUACAUUGAUAGUAUCCCCAGAAGAGCUCUGUCUAUUGCGUGAUAAGACCUCAGCCAGAGAAGUUUGGGACGCUCUGAGAGAGGCUCACUUAAGGACAGAAGCUGGAUCCACUAUGUUUUAUUUUAACAAGCUGCAUAAUAUGGCUCUUGCUGAAGGUGGAGAUGUGCGUUUACAUCUGAUGCAGAUGCAAAAUCUGAGACAUGAGCUGCAACAGAGAGGACUCAACUUUCCAGAGGCUGUGUAUUCUUUCAUGAUACUACAAUCUUUGGGUUCAGGUUGGGAGUCUGUUGCAACCCAGAUUGCUGUGCAACCAACUGCUCAGCUGACAGUGGACUUUGUUACUGCCGUGAUUUUAAAUGAAGCAGAUCGCCGGGGUGCUAGCUGCAUGGGCAAGGAGAGUCUUCACAGACGUCAUCCCAUUGUUCAGUGGAACCACCAGAUGGCGCCAAAGCUUUGUAGGCAGUGAAAUGCUACUCAUGUGGACGUUUAGGCCAUAUGAUGUGGGAAUGCAGACUUCCCUGGGCAAAGACAGAGCAGCGAUGCGAUAGGUCAUCGCGCGGAAAAGGCCGAGGCAAAGGCAAAGGUCCGGUGUCUAGGACAACGCAGCACAAGGCUAUGGUUUCACGCUUCACUCCAAAGGUUGCAGAGGUCCAGAAGACGUCUAGAUCUUUCUUCGUUGUUGAUUCAGCGGCCACCCACCACAUGUGCAACGAUAAGAAACUGUUUGUGUCUUUUACACCGCAGGAAGGUGCGAUUCACCAGGCGGAUGACCACACUAUUCCCAGUAAAGGCUACGGAACUGUUGUUCUUCACAGUUUGGACUUAUCGAUACAGAAUGUGCUUUACGUGCCAGACGCCAAACAUAAUCUGCUCAGCGUUGGACAGCUGAAUGAGCGGAACAUUGACGUUUCCUUCAAGAACAAGAAGUGCAUCAUCACAAAGAAAAAUGAUUAUGUAUUGCAUGCAGAAUAUGUUGAUCGUUUGUUUGUUUUGUAUUAUGAUGAUGUGGUGCAGGAUGACACUUGUUGCAUUGCAGGUUCUAACAAAAGUUUGCAUGCAGAAUGUAUUCACGAUUUUCAUCGCAAAUUUGGUCAUUUGCAUUUUGAGGCAGUAUCUAAAAUGCCUGCCUUGGUUGAAGGUAUGACUAUUAAACCCUGCAGGUACCACAUGAAGUGCAAAGCAUGCGCAGCAAACAAGGUGAAAAUGGCUGCGAAAGGUAAGGUGUCUAGUAGGAAAGCUACAGAACCAUACCAGGUUGUUCAUGCUGAUUUGGUUGGUCCACUUGCGCCCUCUUUGGGUGGAAAUAGAUACUUCAUGGUUCUCAUUGAUGCAUUUUCUAGAUAUAUUUUUGUGUACAAUCUCAAGCAGAAAUCGGAGGCUUUUCCUAGGUUCAAGGAAUUCUGUGCUUGGUUGGAAAAUGUGCAUGGUAAGAAGAUAAAGACUCUUUUCAGUGAUCGCGGGGGAAUUCACUUCUCAGCAGUUUGAAGCUUUUCUGACUGAGAAAGGAAUUCAACACGAUUUGUCUAGUCCUCGCUCGCCAUGGCAGAAUGGACUUGCGGAGCAGGCAAAUCAGACAUUGCUUCAAGGAUUAAAAACCUUGCUGCAUGAUGCCAAUCUUCCAGAGAGUUAUUGGGCCGAAUCUCUCUCGUGUUUUGUUUACAGUUACAAUCGCAGGUUAUCUUCAGCGAUUGGAUGUACCCCCUAUGAGAAGAUGUUUGGCAGAAGCCAUACAUCAAACACAUGAAGAUUUUGGUUCUGACAUGUGGGUUCGCUCACCACAAAACUCCAAGUUAGACAAGCGUGGAUUGCAUGGUAUCUUUCUAGGUUAUCAGAAAGGGUCUUACAGAAUAAUGAUGACUGACUCUAAGACAAUUAAGCUCACGAGAAGUGUCGAGUACAAUGCAAAGUGGGGGAGAAUGUGGGAAUUUUCCAAUGUUAUCCUGAUGACGGUGAUGAGACUGAGGAUAGUCAAAAGCAACCACAACAGCCCACACCCACUGAUGAAGGUUCUGAGUCUGAAUCUGAAACUGAAUCGGGUGAUUCAGAGGAUUUCAAGAGUGCGAAAGCCUCUAUGCGACCCUCUGAAAGCUCUGAUCAAGAAUUGGAGGAACCAUUGUUCACAAUAGGUCGUUUUUCUCCUAAGAAGGAAGAGGAGAGUGUUGAAGACUUAAGGCUAAUUCGUAGGUCACAGAGAGCCACAAAGGCAAACCUCCAAAGAGAUUUGCUGAUGAGUUUGCUAAGAUAGCAGUAACAGCUGUUAAAAGCUCCAAGAAGGUAUUUGAACCUUCAAGUUUCCAAGAAAUCCAGGGUUUGGAUUCGAAGGAAGCUGAGCCAUGGUUAAAUGCCAUGAAGGCUGAGCUUGAUUCCUUAGAAAGGAACAAAACAUGGGAGCUAGUUCCAGUAGUUCCAGGAAUGAAACUGCUUGGAAGCAAAUGGGUCUUCAAAGCGAAGACAGAUCAAAAUGGCAAGAUAGUCAGACACAAAGCCAGAUUGGUAGCCAGAGGUUUUGCACAGGUACCAGGUGAAGACUAUCACGAGACCUAUUCACCCACAGUGAGAUAUGAAAGCAUUAGGCUUAUGCUCAAGCUAGCUGCAGAGGAAAAUCUACACAUUAGUCACCAUGAUAUUAAUACAGCUUUUCUGUACGGAUCUCUAGAUGAAUCACUUUAUAUGCUUCCACCUGAUGGCGUACAGGUAAAACAGGGAUUUGUUUGUGCUCUGAAGAAAUCCCUUUAUGGUCUCAAACAAAGUGCACGGUGUUGGCACACAAAACUCACUGAAGUAUUGUUUUCUCUAGGUUUUCAGCAAGGAAAGCUGAUCCAUGUGUAUUUGUCAAGAGGAGGGGCAAAAGAAACUGUACUGUUUGUUUUAUGUUGAUGAUUUAUUAUUCUUUUGGAAAGAUGUUGCAAUGUACAAUAGCGCCCUAGCUCAACUGAAAGAGCACUUUGACAUGAAAGAUCUUGGUGAGGUAAACAACUACCUAUCUCUGGAAAUGAGAGAGAUCAAGAUGGUAACAUUCUAGUACACCAGUCACGGAAAAUUGCUGAUGUGUUAAGCAAACUAAAUCUGAUGGAUGCUAACCCUGUAGACACACCGAUGACAACAGGUUAUCAGGUAGAUGACACUGAAGAAGCAUUUUCUGACACUACACUGUACAGGAGUGUGCUAGGCAAGCUAAACUUCAUUGCCAGAUGUUCAAGACCAGACAUUGCUGUUAGCUGUAAUUUGCUAAGCAGACAAGUCAACAAUCCUAGUGUCAAGGAUUGGAAAGCUCUGAAACGCAUAGCGCGGUAUUUGAAAGGCACUAUGCAUUACAGACUGAGAUUUAACAAUCAGAAGUCUGGUGGUCUUGAGAUAUUUGCAGAUGCAAGUUUUGGAAGUGACGCUACAGACAGGAAAAGUACGUCUGGAGUUUGCUACAUGUACAAUCAGAGUCUGUUUGAUUGGUCAUGCAAGAAGCAAACAACAGUUAGCUUAAGUACUUGUGAAGCCGAACUGAAUGCACUGUCUUAUUCACUUAAGGAUUGUGAAUGGUUAGUACAAUUGUGCAAAGAUAUGAAAAUUCCUGUCAAAUGUCCAAUCCAGGUUUACCAGGACAACAAAGCAUGUUUGGCUUUGCUGAAGUCUGAAGGUUGUAAGCAAAGCACAAAGCACUUGCAAUUAAAGUUGCAGCAUGCUAGGGAAUGUAUUCAGAAGGGACUCGUAACGGUGUCCUAUAUGCCAGGUAAUGAAAUUCCUGCUGAUGUAUUGUCCAAGAUUGUAUCAAGGGAUCAACACUGUACCUAUGUGCAGAAGUUGGGUUUGUACUGAUACUGUACGAACACGCUGCCCAGUGAUGUUCACAGAAAGGGGAGGAUGUUGGUUUCUAUUUCCCUCACUGAGCAGCAACUGCAGUCACAAGACAUUGUUUUACAUUCCACAGUCUGUACUGUUGGAGUUUCUCACGGGAAAGGGAGACUGGAUGUGACGUACACUGGUUUCCUGUUUUUUUCACUGUGUGAUUCUCUCCGAGCUGUGGAGGAGAGAGGAUGCAUUUUUCUGCUCCGGCAGAGACAAGAUGUCUUUCUGUAAUAUACCAGCUUUGAACUGUAAAUAAAGCAAUAUAGAGUAUGUAGCACGUAUUCUUCAUCCUUCCGCUGGGCACGACAGACUCUGCUUUAAAUCAACACUUCCUUCAGGGCAUGGUGACAACUUGCUAGACUUCUCAAGGAAGUGGGAGGAAACAGCUUCCCAAGGAUCCUACAAAUAUGGGAAGCUCAGCCCUUCCAACCCUGACAACCUUCACCCUUGUAGCCCUGCAUUGAGCCUUUCUGCAUCCAUCCAUCCUCACUGAGCCAUGAAGAUCCUUCACCUGUUCUGGGCUGUCCUGUCUUUGCUGCUGCUGACUGCUUCAGGUAAGGGAUGGAGAGGAAGGAGGGCGAAUGCUGUUCCGCUUAUGUUCUGCGUAGGAAAAGCUAACAUAACAAUGAAGCCUGACCAGGAAAAAGGGCAAAAGAGGACAUAGGUUUGCAGGAAAUGUGCAUGUGCUGAUUUAUGCGUAAAGAUACACAUUUAGUCAUGAUUGACAGGUCACAGAUUUUGGAUUUCUGGGACCAUACAUACACACCAGCUCCCAGAGAGGAGCUUGCAGACAUUUUGCUCUUUCCUAGUUCUUUCUAGUAAAGGUAAAGGUACCCCUGCCCAUCAGGGCCAGUCGUGACCGACUCUAGGGUUGCGCGCUCAUCUCGCUCAAGAGGCUGGGAGUCGGCGCUGUCCAAAGACACUUCCGGGUCACGUGGCCAGCGUGACGAAGCUGCAUCUGGCGAGCCAGCACCAGCGCCACACACGGAAACACUGUUUACCUUCCCACUAGAAAGAGGUCCCUAUUUAUCCACUUGCACUUAGGGGUGCUUUCGAACUGCUAGGUUGGCAGGAGCUGGGACCGAACGACGGGAGCUCACCCCACCGCUGGGAUUCGAACCGCCGACCUUUAGAUCAGCAAGUCCUAGGCUCUGUGGUUUAACCCACAGCGCCACCCAGCGUCCCCAUAGGUCUUUCUAAAUUUAAUUUAAUUGUGCAAAGUCUCUGAUUCGUUUCCAAAAAAAGUUAAAACAUUAACAUUGGGAACAAAGAAACAAAUAAAAACAGGUGGUAAACGCCAUCCACUUCAGAUGGCAAGGAUAGCUCUGAAUGGCUUGAGCUACAGGAGUGUAGAUUUCAGUUGAAUGGAGGUGGGCUCCAUUCUCCAUUGGGGAUGAGCAUCUGUUGGGGAUGCUCAAAUGCUAGAUUAUGUGUUGCUCACAGGGUGGAUGAGAUAACUUGCACGACAUAAUAAUAAUAAUAAUAAUAAUAAUAAUAAUAAUAAUUUAUUUAUUUAUACCCUGCCCAUUUGGCUGGGUUUCCCCAGCCACUCUGGGCAGCUGCCAACAGAACACUAAAAUACAAUAAUCUAUUAAACAUUAAAAGCUUCCCUAAACAGGGCUGCCUUCAAAGGACCCCUGGACAGUUAAGUCCAGUCAAAGGCGACUAUGGGGUUGUGGUGCUUAUCUCGCUUUCAGGCCGAGGGAGCCGGUGUUUGUCCACAGACAGCUUUCCGGGUCAUGUGGCCAGCAUAACUAAACCGCUUCUGGCACAACGCAACACCGUGACAAGUGCCAGAGUGCACGGAAAUGCCCACAAAUUAAAAGAUUAAAACUUCCAAUAAUUCUCAUUAUACUACUUAUGUAGGGACGCUGGUGGCACUGUGGGUUAAACCACAGAGCCUAGGACUUGCCGGUUUGAAUCCCCACAACGGGGUGAGCUCCCGUUGCUCGGUCCCAGCUCCUGCCCACCUAGCAGUUCGAAAGCAUGUCAAAGUGCAAGUAGAUAAAUAGGUACAGCUCCGGCAGGAAGGUAAACAGCAUUUCUGUGCACUUCUCUGGUUCACCAGAAGCAGCUUAGUCAUGCUGGCCACAUGACCCGGAAGCUGUAUGCCGGCCAAUAAAGAAAGAUGACUGCCGCAACCCCAGAGUCGGUCACGACUGGACCUAAUGGUCAGGGGUCCCUUUACCCUUCACCUUUACUACUUAUGUUAUCUGUAUCCCUUGUACAGAUUUAUAUUAUUUUAUUUUGUAUAUAGACAUAUAAUCCACUAUUACAUUUUGAAUAAUUCUUGGUUGUCAGUAUCACUCUAUUUCUGCAAGUAUCUUAUUGUUCGUGCAGUAAGUUUUCAAGUAUUCUUUAUAUAUUUCCCAUUCCCUAAAUACCUUUUGGUUUGACAUUCCUCUAAGUUUUCCAGUCAAUUUUUCUAGUUGCAGGUAUUCUAUCUUAAGAAUUUGGCACUCUGUGAUCGUUGGUAAGGUUUCAUUUUUCCAAUUUCUUGCCACUGUUAUUCUGGCUGCCGUAACUGCGUACAUAAACAAUGGUCUUUAUUAUUACUAUUACUAUUAUUAUUAUUAUUAUUAUUAUUAUUAUUAUUAUUAUUUCAAUUGGUAGUAUUCAUAAUAGAAAAAUUUCUGGGUUUUUUUUAGAAAUGUAAAUUUGAAUAGUUUUUUUUAAUUCACUGUAAAUGUUGUUCCAAAAUUCACAGAUCACCUCGCAAUUCCACCACAUACAGAAAUAUGAUCCUGUAUCUUUUUGCAUAUCCAACAUAAUGUUUCCCAUUCUAAAGUUUCCCUUCCCUUACCUCCACUUCUGAAUUUGCAAUGGACAGGGAUCUCUUUUGUUUCUCCUUUUGCAAAGGAUUUGCCAAGGAAGACCCAAAUCUUGGACCAGAUUGCUAUAAGAGAGGCAGCACUUGCCAAUCUAACAAGUGUCCCAAAGGAAUGAUUCAAGAUGGAAUGUGCAACAUGAAAAGAUAUGUUGCAAGAGGUAAAAGAGCUCAAACAAGGUGCCGGAGAUGAACUUAAAUAUUAUUAUAUUCUUAACAUUUUCAUACCAUACUUAUUUUCAUAUUUCCACUUACACUUUAUUAUUUUCCAAUUUGUACAUCUUAAUUUCUAUGUUAUUAAUUGUAAGUGUUAAAUCAAACCCUGCUAGCGAGUCCACUUCUUUGCAGUUUUUCUGUAGGCAGAGCAUAAAUGAUUCCCAGUCUGUAUUGCCUUUAUCUCUAAGUUUCCCAGUCAACUUCGCCAGCAUAUUCCAUCAGUUUUUCUUGCCACUCUUCUUUAGUUGGUAUCUUCUCAUCUUUCCAUUUCUGGGCUGGUAAAAUCCUAGCCAUUGUUGUAACGUACACGAAUCGCAUCUUCCACUCUUUUGGCAAGUCUUGACCUGUAAUGCCUAGCAAGAAAGCUUCUGGUUUUUUAACAGAUGUUAUCUUAAACAUUUUUUUCAUUUGGUUAUAAAUCAUUUCCCCAAAGUUUUUGGUUAUUUUACAGUUCCACCACAUAUGAAUAAAUGUGCCUUCCUUUUAUUACACUUCUGAAACUUAUUGGAGCCUGUUCUAUACAUUUUAGCCAUUUUUACAGCAGUGAUAUACCAUCUGUACAUCAUUUUCAUAUACAGUGGUACCUCGGGUUAAGUACUUAAUUCGUUCUGGAGGUCUGUUCUUAACCCGAAACUGUUCUUAACCUGAAGCACCACUUUAGCUAAUGGGGCCUCUUGCUGCUGCUGUGCCGCUAGAGCACAAUUUCUGUUCUCAUUCUGAAGCAAAGUUCUUAACCUGAAGCACUAUUUCUGGGUUAGUGGAGUCUGUAACCUGAAGCGUAUGUAACCCGAGGUACCACUGUAAUUCUCUUUCAACAAUAUACAAUCAGCAAAUGUUAAGUUCGCUUUCCAUAAUUUUCCCCAGUCUUCCAUUUGUAUAUUAUGUCCUAAAUCUUGUUUCUACAUCAUCCUUUAGACCUAUGAUGCAUAUUUUAUUUUACCUACUUACGUUGUCCACAUCCUUCAGUUUCUUCUUUCAGUUCAGCUCACUUUUGUAAUGCUAUUGUUCAGCAUCAAAAUGAUCUGGGACCUAUGCUGUUGCAUUCUUAGUCUAACUUGUUUUGGCUCAUCAAUUCCCUCUUCUAUCGUUUAACAUUCUUCCGAGUUCCUCAGCCUUCCUUUCUAUGAUUGUAAUUUUGACAUCAGAUUCCAGGUGAUAUGGAAGUAACUGGGGUUUUUUUGCUCUUGUUAUUGUUUGUUUGUUUUUAAGUCCCUGAAGAUUGAUGCCAGCUUACACAGGAGCCUUUGAAAAUUGGGAGAUGCUCCCUUACUUUGAGAGCAACUGGAUCCUGCUACAUCCCCAGCUGGAGUCUCCUCCUUCUCCAGCAAAGCUUCCAGA